rnacentral:RNase_P_RNA from 1 species
AGGGCAGGUCGGGCGGUCGCCGCCGCGCACGAGAGUGUGCGGGGGAGGAAAGUCCGAACACCGAAGGGCAGCGAGCCAGCUAACGGCUGGGCGCGCGGCGAGCCGGAGGCUGCGAGAGCAGACGCUUCGGCUUGCCGCGUGACGACAAGUGCAACAGAGAACAGACCAGCCAGCGGGCCUCUCUCCUUCGGGAGGAGGCAGCGGGUGAUGGGUGAAACGGUGCGGCCCUCGCGGGCUUAAAGUAAGAGCGCACCGGCGCGCGUGGUAACACGCGCGGCCAGGCAAACUCCUCGUGGUGCAAGACCAAAUAGGGAGGUCGUCAGACAGGGCUGCCCGCCCGAAGUCGCGCCGACAGGCGCGCUACGCCUCCGGGUAGGUCGCUUGAGCCGUCCGGCGACGGACGGCCUAGAGGAAUGAUCGCCGCCCCGAAACCGUGCGCGGAUUUCGGGGGACAGAAUUCGGCUUACAGACCUGUUCUCAAA